UACGUAGGUGGCGAGCGUUUGUCCGGAUUUACUGGGCGUAAAGGGCUUGUAGGCGGUCUGUUAAGUCCGAUGUGAAAUCUCCCGGCUCAACUGGGAGAGGUCAUUGGAUACUGGCAGACUAGAGGGGGGUAGAGGAAAGCAGAAUUCCUGGUGUAGCGGUGAAAUGCGUAGAUAUCAGGAGGAAUACCAGUGGCGAAGGCGGCUUUCUGGGCCUACCCUGACGCUGAGGAGCGAAAGCGUGGGGAGCAAACCGG
rnacentral:rRNA from 1 species